rnacentral:rRNA from 1 species
ACGCUCGACACCUACGGAGGCAGCAGUAGGGAAUCUUCCACAAUGGACGCAAGUCUGAUGGAGCAACGCCGCGUGAGUGAAGAAGGUCUUCGGAUCGUAAAACUCUGUUGUUAGAGAAGAACACGAGUGAGAGUAACUGUUCAUUCGAUGACGGUAUCUAACCAGCAAGUCACGGCUAACUACGUGCCCGCAGCCGCGGUAAUCUGAGCGGGCUGGCAAGGC